CACGUAGGGCGCAAGCGUUGUCCGGAAUCAUUGGGCGUAAAGAGCGCGUAGGCGGUCCGGUAAGUCCGCUGUGAAAGUCAAGGGCUCAACCCUUGAAUGCCGGUGGAUACUGUCGGGCUAGAGUCCGGAAGAGGCGAGUGGAAUUCCUGGUGUAGCGGUGAAAUUCGUAGAUAUUCGGAGGAACACCAGUGGCGAAGGCGGCUCACUGGUCCAUUACUGACGCUGAGGUGCGAAAGCGUGGGGAGCAAACAGG
rnacentral:rRNA from 1 species